rnacentral:rRNA from 1 species
AAAAGUGAAAGACGGUCUUGCUGUCACUUAUAGAUGGAUCCGCGCUGCAUUAGCUAGUUGGUAAGGUAACGGCUUACCAAGGCAACGAUGCAUAGCCGACCUGAGAGGGUGAUCGGCCACACUGGAACUGAGACACGGUCCAGACUCCUACGGGAGGCAGCAGUAGGGAAUCUUCCGCAAUGGGCGAAAGCCUGACGGAGCAACGCCGCGUGAGUGAUGAAGGUCUUCGGAUCGUAAAACUCUGUUAUUAGGGAAGAACAUAUGUGUAAGUAACUGUGCACAUCUUGACGGUACCUAAUCAGAAAGCCACGGCUAACUACGUGCCAGCAGCCGCGGUAAUACGUAGGUGGCAAGCGUUAUCCGGAAUUAUUGGGCGUAAAGCGCGCGUAGGCGGUUUUUUAAGUCUGAUGUGAAAGCC